UAUCCGGAUUUAUUGGGUUUAAAGGGUGCGUAGGUGGUCUUUUAAGUCAGCGGUGAAAGUUUGUGGCUCAACCAUAAAAUUGCCAUUGAAACUGGGGGACUUGAGUAUGUUUGAGGUAGGCGGAAUGCGUGGUGUAGCGGUGAAAUGCAUAGAUAUCACGCAGAACUCCGAUUGCGAAGGCAGCUUGCCAAGCCAUAACUGACACUGAAGCACGAAAGCGUGGGUAUCAAACAGGAUUAGAUACCCUGGUAGUCCACGCAGUAAACGAUGAUUACUAGGAGUUUGCGAUAAAAUGUAAGCUCUACAGCGAAAGCGUUAAGUAAUCCACCUGGGGAGUACGCCGGCAACGGUGAAACUCAAAGGAAUUGACGGGGGCCCGCACAAGCGGAGGAACAUGUGGUUUAAUUCGAUGAUACGCGAGGAACCUUACCCGGGUUUGAACGCACAGCGACGAGUCAGGAAACUGAUUUUCUAGCAAUAGCGAUGUGCGAGGUGCUGCAUGGUUGUCGUCAGCUCGUGCCGUGAGGUGUCGGCUUAAGUGCCAUAACGAGCGCAACCCUUGCCGUUAGUUACUAACAAGUAGUGUUGAGGACUCUAGCGGGACUGCCAGCGUAAGCUGUGAGGAAGGCGGGGAUGACGUCAAAUCAGCACGG
rnacentral:rRNA from 1 species